UACGUAGGGUGCAAGCGUUGUCCGGAAUUACUGGGCGUAAAGGGCGCGUAGGCGGCCUGCUAAGUCGAACGUGAAAUCCCCGGGCUCAACCCGGGAACUGCGUCCGAUACUGGCAGGCUUGAAUUCGGGAGAGGGAUGCGGAAUUCCAGGUGUAGCGGUGAAAUGCGUAGAUAUCUGGAGGAACACCGGUGGCGAAGGCGGCAUCCUGGACCGAUAUUGACGCUGAUGCGCGAAAGCCAGGGGAGCAAACGGG
rnacentral:rRNA from 1 species